GAGUUUGAUCAUGGCUCAGAUUGAACGCUGGCGGCAUGCCUUACACAUGCAAGUCGAACGGCAGCACGGGUGCUUGCACCUGGUGGCGAGUGGCGAACGGGUGAGUAAUACAUCGGAACAUGUCCUGUAGUGGGGGAUAGCCCGGCGAAAGCCGGAUUAAUACCGCAUACGAUCUACGGAUGAAAGCGGGGGACCUUCGGGCCUCGCGCUAUAGGGUUGGCCGAUGGCUGAUUAGCUAGUUGGUGGGGUAAAGGCCUACCAAGGCGACGAUCAGUAGCUGGUCUGAGAGGACGACCAGCCACACUGGGACUGAGACACGGCCCAGACUCCUACGGGAGGCAGCAGUGGGGAAUUUUGGACAAUGGGCGAAAGCCUGAUCCAGCAAUGCCGCGUGUGUGAAGAAGGCCUUCGGGUUGUAAAGCACUUUUGUCCGGAAAGAAAUCCUUGGCUCUAAUACAGUCGGGGGAUGACGGUACCGGAAGAAUAAGCACCGGCUAACUACGUGCCAGCAGCCGCGGUAAUACGUAGGGUGCGAGCGUUAAUCGGAAUUACUGGGCGUAAAGCGUGCGCAGGCGGUUUGCUAAGACCGAUGUGAAAUCCCCGGGCUCAACCUGGGAACUGCAUUGGUGACUGGCAGGCUAGAGUAUGGCAGAGGGGGGUAGAAUUCCACGUGUAGCAGUGAAAUGCGUAGAGAUGUGGAGGAAUACCGAUGGCGAAGGCAGCCCCCUGGGCCAAUACUGACGCUCAUGCACGAAAGCGUGGGGGGCAAACAGGAUUAGAUACCCUGGUAGUCCACGCCCUAAACGAUGUCAACUAGUUGUUGGGGAUUCAUUUCCUUAGUAACGUAGCUAACGCGUGAAGUUGACCGCCUGGGGAGUACGGUCGCAAGAUUAAAACUCAAAGGAAUUGACGGGGACCCGCACAAGCGGUGGAUGAUGUGGAUUAAUUCGAUGCAACGCGAAAAACCUUACCUACCCUUGACAUGGUCGGAAUCCCGCUGAGAGGUGGGAGUGCUCGAAAGAGAACCGGCGCACAGGUGCUGCAUGGCUGUCGUCAGCUCGUGUCGUGAGAUGUUGGGUUAAGUCCCGCAACGAGCGCAACCCUUGUCCUUAGUUGCUACGCAAGAGCACUCUAAGGAGACUGCCGGUGACAAACCGGAGGAAGGUGGGGAUGACGUCAAGUCCUCAUGGCCCUUAUGGGUAGGGCUUCACACGUCAUACAAUGGUCGGAACAGAGGGUUGCCAACCCGCGAGGGGGAGCUAAUCCCAGAAAACCGAUCGUAGUCCGGAUUGCACUCUGCAACUCGAGUGCAUGAAGCUGGAAUCGCUAGUAAUCGCGGAUCAGCAUGCCGCGGUGAAUACGU
rnacentral:rRNA from 1 species